rnacentral:rRNA from 1 species
AGAUUGAACUGAAGAGUUUGAUCCUGGCUCAGAUUGAACGCUGGCGGCAUGCUUUACACAUGCAAGUCGAACGGCAGCACGGGGGCAACCCUGGUGGCGAGUGGCGAACGGGUGAGUAAUGCAUCGGAACGCGUCCUGUAAUGGGGGAUAACCUACCGAAAGGUAGGCUAAUACCGCAUACGUCCUGAGGGAGAAAGCGGGGGAUCGUAAGACCUCGCGUUAUAGGAGCGGCCGAUGUCGGAUUAGCUAGUUGGUGGGGUAAAGGCCUACCAAGGCGACGAUCCGUAGCGGGUCUGAGAGGACGGCCCGCCACACUGGGACUGAGACACGGCCCAGACUCCUACGGGAGGCAGCAGUGGGGAAUUUUGGACAAUGGGGGCAACCCUGAUCCAGCCAUGCCGCGUGAGUGAAGAAGGCCUUCGGGUUGUAAAGCUCUUUCGGCCGGGAAGAAAUCGCAUCUUCUAAUACGGGGUGUGGAUGACGGUACCGGAAGAAGAAGCACCGGC